CCUAGAAACUAUUGAAAUCAUCAGAAAAAAAAAUUGACAUAGUCGGCGGUUUUGUUUUGCGGACGUGCUCGCCCCCCUUGUCUAUCAGCGACUCAGCGAGUUUCUCUCUCCUCUGAGGUUUCGUUUUGCCGAUGUGCUCGCCUCGCUUCUGUAUUAGCGGCUAAGCGAGUGUCUGUUUCUUCAGAGGUUUCGUUUUGCCGAUGUGCUCGCCUCGCU